AGCCCUGCCCGGAGGUCGCUCCUUUCCUCUGGCUUCUGGGUCCCCAUCUGGAGGCUUCUUAACAGUGCUGGGCGCGCAGAUGAAGAAUACGUGGCCUGUAACGUAAACCGGGGCCCUCCGGAGCUCCAACUCGGGAAGCUCCCGCCAGGCUCUUGCUUGCAGGACUGGAAGUUGAAGCACUGAAGAAGGAAACUACCCAAAUGCAAUGCACUGAGGAUAAUGAGUGUUACACAGGUGCAAGCAUAAGAUAAACCACGAGAAAAAUGAACUCUGCCGACCUAUCGGCAAGCUCACCAAGGAGGUGGAGAUGGAGCAGAAGUGCUAUAUGAUGAGGAGCUUAAGUAUGCUAAAAGCAAAGAGCUGGUGAAUGAAACUGCUGGCAGCUUUAAAGAGAAGCAGUAAGAUGGCCUCACUGUUCUUUACAGUGAGGAUAGAAACCCAAAAGGAAAACACACACUUAACGAGCCCUAGAAUUGGGAAAACAAAGGAAUGGAUAUUCAGUCUUUUCAGUUAAGUCUCUCCUUUUCCCAACUCUCAAGAUUUCAUAGAUCAAAGCACAAUUGGCUGAGUAUCACAAAACAGCUCAGAAACUGAAGCUAAUUCCCACAAGCAUGGCAGUUUCCCCACGGCCACAACUUUAAAAUUAAAUUUAACCCGGAGAAUGGAGUUCACUCUUUCAUCACAAGCAGGCCUCGAUCAGUGUGGUGUGUUCUGGUAACGCCCACCAACGCUGCUCAGGGGCUGCCAUCACUGAGCAUUUGGCAAAGAACUCGGCACCAGUGUCUGCAAGUCCUGGCUCUGGCAGUCCCUCCUUGUCCAGGUGCCGAGCACAGCUCAGCAUGACUUCCCCUAAGCCAAAAAACAAGUAGAAUGUGAACCAUGUAUCCUCUUUCACUUUCUUCACAGUAAUCCUUGACUUCUGUAGACAUCUAAACAAAGUGGUUUUUGUUCUUUUU